UACGAAGGGUGCAAACGUUGCUCGGAAUUAUUGGGCGUAAAGCGCACGUAGGCGGCUUUGCAAGUCCGAUGUGAAAUCCCUCGGCUCAACCGGGGAACUGCGUCUGAGACUGGAAGGCUUGAAUCCGGGAGAGGGAUGUGGAAUUCCAGGUGUAGCGGUGAAAUGCGUAGAUAUCUGGAGGAACACCGGUGGCGAAGGCGGCAUCCUGGACCGGUAUUGACGCUGAGGCGCGAAAGCCAGGGGAGCAAAGCGGG
rnacentral:rRNA from 1 species